UAAUCCAUGUCUGAGAUUUGGGAUAUAAAAGUUAAUAGGACAAGGGUAUCAGGAGCUCAAUGCUGUAGUCUGAAUAGAAUUGAAAUGUUUAACUAUGAGGUAGAAGUUGGAGGAGGAAAAUAAAAUCAGAACCGAGAAAAUGUCAUAAGAGAUUACUCAUGAACGGAGGGAAUGGAGAGCACCUGAAGACAAAGAACAUGUCUAGAAAGGGCACCCCUCCUUUAAUUGGGGAAGGCAAAAGGAUAUUUGAACUGCAAGACAAGGUCCUUAGGCUGGCGAAGAAGAUGAGCCCCUGGGGAAAUCAGAAAGAAGAGAAUCAGAAGAUCUAGUUGGGCCCAGCUGUACCAAUGACUGAAGGAUAAACUACUUCUCUCUUAAUUUAUUUCCUUCUCUAUAAAAGGAAAGGCCUGAACAAGAGGAUUCCUACCUGUAAAGUCUUUCAAACCUUAAGAUUCUAUGUUCCAUAAGAAUCUGGGCUAAAUUCACGAAUAAAGUUUAAAAAAAAUAGAUGCUUUAAGAUGCACUUAAAUUAAAUUAAAUGAUGCAUUUUUAAUGCCUUAAGUGUUUGUGGAUAAAAAUAUUUUUGUAUCAUCUUGUUG